rnacentral:rRNA from 1 species
UACAGAGGGUGCAAGCGUUAAUCGGAAUUACUGGGCGUAAAGCGCACGUAGGCGGUUUUUUAAGUCAGAUGUGAAAGCCCCGGGCUCAACCUGGGAAUUGCAUUUGAAACUGGAAAACUAGAGUGUGUGAGAGGGGGGUAGAAUUCCAAGUGUAGCGGUGAAAUGCGUAGAGAUUUGGAGGAAUACCAGUGGCGAAGGCGGCCCCCUGGCACAACACUGACGCUCAGGUGCGAAAGCGUGGGGAGCAAACAGGAUUAGAUACCCCGGUAGUCC